rnacentral:lncRNA from 1 species
CCGGCUGCUUUGUUUACCUAAUCAAGCCUGGGCAAUGGCGGGCGCCCCUCCCCCAGCCUGUCUUCCGCCUUGCAGUUUGAUCUCAGACUGCUGUGCUAGCAAUCAGCGAGACUCCGUGGGCGUAGGACCCUCCGAGCCAGGGAAAUGGAAUUGAAGACAACUACUUCUAGAAUUGGUGCAUGGAAGCUUCUCAUAGGUGAUUAGCCACACUCUUCUUCUGUCAACCUGGUGCAGAAAAGCUUGAAGACCUUGGAAAUCACAUAUUGAUGAUGGAGGAGAUACAAGAAUGAAGGACCCUGGGUUCCUGAAUCAACACUCUAAGAAGAGACUCCUUGAAAUCAAGAGCACUCAUUUUGACAUUGCAAACGGAAAAAUUCACUUCUAUCAGGUUUGAACCAAUAUAUAGUUUAGGGUUUUUAAAAAAUAACUGUUAGCAUGACUUUAACUAAUACACAUGCCAUACAGGAUCAGACCUCUGUGACUUUGCUUUUACAGUCUGCUCUGUCUGGAGGGGAGUUUCAUCUUUGCCAUCCUUAAUGAUAUAGCAUAGACGCUAUGUCCUCCAGAAACUUCCUUGGCACCCACAUUUUUGGAUGGAAGCUUCUUGUCAUUUCCAUGGAAAGUAAGCUUAAUCUUGUCAAUGUGGUUCAACAUCAAAUUUGAAUUAUGUUCACCUAUCUUGUUUCCAACCUUCCCAACUAAAAUUUAAAUUUCAUAAAGG